AUGAAAUGAAAUAAUAAUAAAUAAAUAAAUUAAAAAUAAAAAAAAAUGAUGAAUGAGUAGUAAAUAAUCUGUCCUCUAUGAUGAUGAUAGGUACAGUGAAAUUGUCAUCUGGUUCUAGAGAUUCGUGAGCGAAUCAAGAUAAUUAAGACGAUUUGGAGCGGAAAAGAGUGAAUGAAAAUUGGAGUGGAAGCAUAGUUAUAGGGACUCUUAGAAGUAUCUAUGUUAAUAAGUUUGGGUUGUAAUAUUGCAAACUCAAGUAUUUGAUUAGAUGCACUGUAUUUGCUUCUUUAUGGUUAGUCAAUAAACUUGAUCGGAUUUGAUUUUAUUCCAUAAAAUAAUAUUGUUAUCAUGGGCUGCGUGUUAUUGUGGGCAGCAACCUACAAUAGCACGGCCAUGUCAUGAGCCGGAUCUGGGAUGCAAAACA